rnacentral:rRNA from 1 species
CAGCCGCCGCGGGAAUACGAAGGGUGCAAGCGUUAAUCGGAAUUACUGGGCGUAAAGCGUGCGUAGGCGGUUUGUUAAGUCUGUUGUGAAAUCCCCGGGCUCAACCUGGGAAUGGCAAUGGAUACUGGCAAGCUAGAGUGUGUCAGAGGAUGGUGGAAUUCCGCGUGUAGCAGUGAAAUGCGUAGAUAUGCGGAGGAACACCGAUGGCGAAGGCAGCCCCCUGGGCCAACACUGACGCUUAUGCACGAAAGCGUGGGGAGCAAACAGGAUUAGAUACCCCGGUAGUCCCUGUCUCUUAUAC